rnacentral:lncRNA from 1 species
GCAAUAGGGUUUUAGUCUCCUUGUAUUCUAGCCGUCACAUUCCCGUUCGUCUGUCUCCGUUGAUUCGUCGACGUAGGCAGAGCCAUACCCAUCAGUAAUCAACACAUCAUGUCUCCAAGUAAUUCGCUCUGCCUCCUAGAUCAAAAUCCUCAUCUCUGAUUCUGCCGCCGCCGCCACUACUCCUUCCGCCAUCACUGCUCCUUCCAUCCACACAGUUCGUCGCACUCUCGACCCAUAUCCGCUCUCCAUUCGUCCUCACUUAGAUCUACUUGUGCGCACAUUGCAAGCACCGAUUUGUUCGUGCAUCUCUGUUCGUGUCUUCGACUUCCAGAUCCGUGUUUUAUUUCAUCUUUCGCCUUCGAAUCAUACUGUUCCAGAUCAGACCGACCUGCCACCGCCGCCCUUUACUCGUACCAAACAAUCUCUUUCGAUUGAAGACUCCCGAUCCUGAAGAGGGUGAAUCUUUGUUCAAAUCCAUGAUCCACCGCUCUGCUCCACUCACAGCCGACGACGCACAGGUUCGGCUCUUGUCCGCUCUCCAUUUGUGAAGCUCGCCGUCAUGAAACACAUCUUCUCUUUUUGCGAAGAACGCCGCAAAGCUCUCUAUCUACUCAACCUCUCAACUCUCUUCAGUUUUCGUUCUGUUCACCCAGAUUUCCUUAGUUCUUAGCAAACUCAAGUUUGUGAUUUCAACCUUGAGUUUGAGGGAGGGUAUUAAUAUAAUUAGAUUAUUCUUAGGAGAUUAUUCUGGAGAUAUUAUUCUGGAGAUAUUAUUUGAUAUUAUUUCCUUAAGUGUAUUUCUCUAUGGUUAUAUAUAGGCUUGUAUCUCUAUUAAAUAAUCAAUGAAAGAUAGAUUAAUUCCAUAAAAUCAACAUGGUAUCAGAGCAAUAGGGUUUUAGUCUCCUUGUAUUCUAGCCGUCACAUUCCCGUUCGUCUGUCUCCGUUGAUUCGUCGACGUAGGCAGAGCCAUACCCAUCAGUAAUCAACACAUCAUGUCUCCAAGUAAUUCGCUCUGCCUCCUAGAUCAAAAUCCUCAUCUCUGAUUCUGCCGCCGCCGCCACUACUCCUUCCGCCAUCACUGCUCCUUCCAUCCACACAGUUCGUCGCACUCUCGACCCAUAUCCGCUCUCCAUUCGUCCUCACUUAGAUCUACUUGUGCCGCACAUUGCAAGCACCGAUUUGUUCGUGCAUCUCUGUUCGUGUCUUCGACUUCCAGAUCCGUGUUUUAUUUCAUCUUUCGCCUUCGAAUCAUACUGUUCCAGAUCAGACCGACCUGCCACCGCCGCCCUUUACUCGUACCAAACAAUCUCUUUCGAUUGAAGACUCCCGAUCCUGAAGAGGGUGAAUCUUUGUUCAAAUCCAUGAUCCACCGCUCUGCUCCACUCACAGCCGACGACGCACAGGUUCGGCUCUUGUCCGCUCUCCAUUUGUGAAGCUCGCCGUCAUGAAACACAUCUUCUCUUUUUGCGAAGAACGCCGCAAAGCUCUCUAUCUACUCAACCUCUCAACUCUCUUCAGUUUUCGUUCUGUUCACCCAGAUUUCCUUAGUUCUUAGCAAACUCAAGUUUGUGAUUUCAACCUUGAGUUUGAGGG